GGAGGCCUGCGGAGCCCCCAGAGACACCUUCAGGCAGGAGCCCGCCAGGGAGCCUUGGGCACCCCCAGCCACGCAGGAUAGGCUGAGCUCGUGUCUGUUUCUCCUGCCACCACUGCCCGAGGCCGUGGGACCCGGGCCGGAGCAGCCGCACACCAGCGACUGAGCAGUCCCCUCCCUCUGGCCUUUGCACCAGGGGAUCACCACGGGCUAGAGGCCAGAGUCACCCUUGGCCCCUAGAGGUGGCUAGUCUCCUAGGGGUCGGGCUGCGCCCAUCUGGGAAAGGAAGCGCCACCCUCACCCUGUGCCCCCACCUCCCCAUCCACCCCCAGCUACACCCUGCUCAGCCUGAACCCCAGUGUGGGAGGGGUUCCCCAAAAGGAUUUCUUGUGACUUCUUGUUUUCAGCCGAGAAGAAAAUGUUUCAAGUGAAUGUUUCAGGGGCUGGGAGAGCAGGGAGAUAGGUGGUUGGUGCUGAAUGGGUCGUUUCAGUUUUGCAAGAUGACAAGAGCUCUGGAGAUGGGCGGCCAGCGAUGUGGACGCACGGAAAAAUGGUUAAGACGGAAAAUUUUAUGUUAGGGAGGGGGCUGGAAGAUGAGCAGCAAAAGUCCAGACGCGGACACUGGGGGACGCAGUGCAACCAUGGGACCCCAGAUCCCGCCUGCAGCCAUUCGUUCCAGAAAGAAAUGACACAGAGCUGGGGAGGAGGCGGAGGAGCAGACAGACUGAUAGCUACCAAGUGCCUGCGCUGGCAAGAAGCUUCCACAUCUCUGGAAUCACUUAAUGCUUCCAGCCUAUGAGCUCAGCUUUAUUGGCCUCAGUGUCAGAGCUGAGUGAACCAAGGCCCAGAAGAUACAGGUGUCGCCGCUACUGAGCCUGCCACCAGUGUCACUGGUGCCGGAGACGUCCCAGUCCUGUCCUGGGCCGAUCCUGGGAGGGGAGGAAUACAGCUCUCCUGGAAUCAGGUGUGUGACCAGUGCUGCCACUGAAGAGAAUGUCCUUGUUCUGAGGAGGCAGGUGCGACAGGACCCAGACGGUGUCGGGAAGUCUGGACCUUACUUGAAGUGGCUGAUAAAAAACUGGGUGUGCAGAUGGAACAUAAGCAAGAAGAGGUGUAAGCAAAUAGGGCAAAAUGCUAACAAUUGGCCAAUCUAGGUAAGUGGUACCAUGCUGUCCUUUCAACCUUUCUGAACGUCUGGAAACUUUUAAAACGAUGGAAGAAAGCCCCACCCACACGACAUCGCUCUUUUCAUAACCCACUACUGGCGUCUCAUCUCACUGAGAGCUCAUCAGCCCUAACACAGGCUCUAUGCAGCCUGGCCCCAGGCUGCCUCCCGCCCGCUUAGGAAUCCUGCUCCAAACAGCUCCACCUCAGGGCCUUUGCACAGGGGUUUGUCCCCUGUGGCAGCGAUGCUCUCCUUCAGCGACCUCACCGCUUUCAGCCUUUACACAUCACUUUCUCGGAGAGCUUCCCUGCCCCAUGGCCGGCUUGGUGACCCCACCGCUGCCUAGACCCUCCCGCUCCCCGUCCCCUCUCCCUCCUUCGUUCUUCUCCUUCCCUCUUAGCAGCAUCUGACAUACUCAGAGUUUGUGAAUUCGCUCCUUUAUCAUCUCUCUCCCACUAUAAGCUUUAGGAAGGCAGGGAUUUGUGUUCUUUUACUCAUGGCUGUGUCCCUGUCACCCAGAACAGCAUGGCACUCAGCCGGUGUUCUACAAAUACCUGCUGAAUGAAUGACAGGUGGCAGCCCCAGACACAUGAAAUAAUCCCACGCCUAUCCCACGCCUGAGCCACACAGCUCCCCUCUCCCUUCCCCUGAGCUUCAUCGGGUCCAUUUGCUACACCUCUAGCCUUCCCAUCAAUUCUGUGAGCUCCCCAAUAUCUACCCAAUAAAUUCCUUUUCUGCUUAAA